rnacentral:rRNA from 1 species
CCUACGGGUGGCUGCAGUGAGGAAUAUUGGUCAAUGGGCGGAAGCCUGAACCAGCCAAGUAGCGUGCAGGAUGACGGCCCUACGGGUUGUAAACUGCUUUUAUACGGGAAUAACUCGCCUUACGUGUAGGGCUUUGCAUGUACCGUAUGAAUAAGGACCGGCUAAUUCCGUGCCAUCAGCCGCGGUAAUACGGAAGGUCCGGGCGUUAGCCGGAUUUAUUGGGUUUAAAGGGAGCGUAGGCCGCAUGUCAAGCGUGCUGUGAAAUGUCCGGGAUAAACCCGGGCCUUGCAGCGCGAACGGGCGUGCUUGAGGCCGCGGAAAGCAGGCGGAAUU